rnacentral:rRNA from 1 species
UACGAAGGGGGCUAGCGUUGCUCGGAAUUACUGGGCGUAAAGCGCACGUAGGCGGAUUGUUAAGUCGGGGGUGAAAUCCUGGAGCUCAACUCCAGAACUGCCUUCGAUACUGGCGAUCUCGAGUUCGGGAGAGGUGAGUGGAACUGCGAGUGUAGAGGUGAAAUUCGUAGAUAUUCGCAAGAACACCAGUGGCGAAGGCGGCUCACUGGCCCGAUACUGACGCUGAGGCACGAAAGCGUGGGAAGCAAACAGG